rnacentral:rRNA from 1 species
CUGGGGCGCACGCGCGCUACACUGACAGAGCCAGCGAGUCUACCACCUUUGCCGGAAGGCAUGGGUAAUCUUGUGAAACUCUGUCGUGAUGGGGAUAGAGCAUUGCAAUUAUUGCUCUUCAACGAGGAAUACCUAGUAAGCGUGAUUCAUCAGAUCGCGUUGAUUACGUCCCUGCCCUUUGUACACACCGCCCGUCGCUACUACCGAUUGAAUGGCUUAGUGAGGCCUCCGGAUGGCUAUUGGGAGCUCGCGAGAGCACCCGACUGCCGAGAAGUUGUACGAACUUGGUCAUUUAGAGGAAGUAAAAGUCGUAACAAGGUUUCCGUAGGUGAACCUGCGGAAGGAUCAUUAGUGAAUAUUAGGGCGUCCAACUUAACUUGGAGCCCGAACUCUCACUUUCUAACCCUGUGCAUCUGUUUCUGGUCAGUAGCUCUCUCGGGAGUGAACGCCAUUCACUUAAAAACACAAAGUCUAUGAAUGUAUAAAAUUUAUAACAAAACAAAACUUUCAACAACGGAUCUCUUGGCUCUCGCAUCGAUGAAGAACGCAGCGAAAUGCGAUAAGUAAUGUGAAUUGCAGAAUUCAGUGAAUCAUCGAAUCUUUGAACGCACCUUGCGCUCUCUGGUAUUCCGGAAAGCAUGCCUGUUUGAGUGUCAUGAAAUCUUCAACCCUCUCUUUUCUUAUUGAAUC